rnacentral:rRNA from 1 species
CACGUAGGGACCGAGCGUUGUCCGGAUUUAUUGGGCGUAAAGAGCUCGUAGGCGGUUCAGCAAGUCGGGUGUGAAAACUCUGGGCUCAACCCAGAGACGCCACCCGAUACUGCUGUGGCUAGAGUCCGGUAGGGGAGUGGGGAAUUCCUGGUGUAGCGGUGAAAUGCGCAGAUAUCAGGAGGAACACCGGUGGCGAAGGCGCCACUCUGGGCCGGCACUGACGCUGAGGAGCGAAAGCGUGGGUAGCAAACAGG